GUUUUACUUACCCAUGUAUGUGCAAUAGGUGGUAUUCUUCUCAUGGCAGUUCUAUCAUUCAUUAUUGUUCUUCACAAAGAGAAAAUGAAAAUGAGGGAAUUUUACAAGAAGAAUGGUGGGCCUACAUUAGAGAAGGCACAUAUCAUAAAGCUUUUCAAAAAGGAGGAGCUUAAACCAAUUUUAAAGAGCAACAAUUUAAUAGGAAAAGGUGCCUUCGGUGAAGUUUACAAGGGUCUUCUUGACAAUAAACCGGUUGCAGUAAAGAAGCCAAUUAAUGGUAGUGUGAUGGAGAAUGAACAGUUUGCAAAUGAAGUCAUCAUUCAAUCCCAAGUCAUCCACAAGAACAUUGUUAGGCUGAUAGGUUGUUGCCUAGAAGUUGAUACCCCCAUGUUGGUUUAUAUCAAGGUCGAUCUCAGCUUGGAUGCGCGUUUAAGUAUUGCUGCACAGUCAGCGGAUGGUCUAGCCUAUAUGCAUUCAAAGGCCAAUAUUAAAAUUCUACAUGGUGAUGUUAAACCAGCAAAUAUACUAUUGGAUGAUAACUUUCUACCGAAGAUUUCAGAUUUCGGUAUAUCCAGGUUGAUUGUGAGGGACAAGCAGCACACAGGAUCAGUCAUCGGAGACAUGAAUUAUAUGGACCCAAUAUAUCUGCAAGAAGGCCUACUCACCGAAAAAAGUGAUGUCUAUAGUUUUGGAGUUGUCAUCUUAGAGCUUAUAACCAGGAAGAAA
rnacentral:rRNA from 1 species